rnacentral:lncRNA from 1 species
GGCCCAAAACUGAGCUGGAGUUUGGUCCUAAGCCAAGCUGAUAACACUCCCUGCUGAAGAUAAGAUGGGCCUGACCCCGCGUAUUCAGGCAGCAAAUAUUUACUGAGUGCCUUUCGGUGCCAGGCUCCAGGCUGGGGAGUCAGAAGUAGGAUGGAUGGAGAGGCAGGGAGAAAGCCGGCUGAGUCCUGCCUUCCCACGGGUGGCCGUGGGGACAGAUGAGCAAAAGGCAGAAAACCAAGGUGCCUCUGGAGAGACCACGGUUGAAGACAAGACCACAGUGGGGGUGAUACCGAGGGCCCUGAAGUGUCCGGAACAGGCCCUCUUCGCUGGAAUCACGGUGCAAUCCACGGGGAAGCGUCGCUGGGCUGCAUGCAGAGGGGUCAGAGAUGAGACUCGUUCACCCUCCCACGCCCCCGUUUGACAGGUGAGGACGCUGAGGCCAGUGAGCGCAGAGUGAGACUCGAACUUGGGACAUCUGGCUGAUUCUUGCGCAGAGAGGUUGUGACCACUCUCCAAGUGGGUGCAGCUGGGAGAAAGAGGCCCUUGGGCGAGCCGGACCAAGCUCACAUUGCCCCUCUAGCUCCUACUUGCAGCCAAGCAGCCUGGAUUCGCCAGGCCUCAGUAUUCCCCUCUGGCAGAUGGGUUGAGCACCCCUUUACCACUCAAUCAUAAAUGUCCCUGCUUGUGGCUUCAACCGCCCUUCCACGUGUCCACCCCAUGUCAUCAGCCUCCACUUAAACCUCUUGGCUUGGCACCUGUCUCGGGGUAACAUCCACGCACCCUGCUGUGACUUUUGAGGGUCUGCAUGGCUGGUCCCUGCCCCCACCCAGCCACGGGCCUCUGCCAGAUCCUCAAACACCACGGCUGCCUCAGGACUCCAGGCCUUAGCCCGUGCCUUGCCUCUUGCCUGCAAUGCCCUUCCCGAAUCCAUCCACGCCCUCAAACCUCACCUAGUUAUUAUCUACUUAGCUUUCAGUCUCAGUCUGAGACAUCAAACUGCUUUCUUUCCUUUUCUUCUUUCAAAAUGUUUCAUUCAAGGACAACAUGCAGACAUUAAAAUACUCAAAUCCUAGGUACACAGUUCUGUAACUUCUCAUAAAGGGAGUAUGCCCAGGUAACCAGCAGCCAGCUCAAGAAACAGGACAUUCCGGCUGGGCUCGGUGGCUCAUUCCUGUAAUCCUAGCAUCUUGGGAAGUCGAGGCAGGAGGAUUGCUUGAGGCCAGGGGGAGGUCAAGUCUAGCCUGGGUACAUAGUAAGAUCCCAUCUCUACCAAAAAAAAAAAAAAGACAGAAAAAGAAACAAGACAUCCCCAUGCCCACCACCUUCAUCGAAGCUCCCUUAUG